rnacentral:rRNA from 1 species
ACCCUGGACGGGGGAUCACUCAGCUCGUCCGUCGAUGAAGAACUCGGCCAGCCGCGAGAACUGAUGCUAAUUGCAGGACUCAGUGAACAUCGACACCUCGAACGCACAUUGCGGCCUCGAGGUCCCUUGUCU